AGCUUUGCUCAGUGGCAGUAUCAUAGCCAAUGAGGUUUAUCCGAGGCACGAUUAUUGCUAAUUGAAAACUUUUCCCAAUAACCACUGAUCUAAGGGCUCCUGGGUGGCUCAGUCAGUUAAGCAUCUGCCUUUGGCU